rnacentral:tRNA from 1 species
AGAGGAUUAGCUCAGUUGGGAGAGCGUCUGCCUUACAAGCAGAAUGUCGUGGGUUCAAGUCCCUCAUCCUCUACCA